UUUAGAAGAGAGAUGAUCUAUAUAACGUAAUACAAAAUAUGUAAUAGACUUGUCAAACAUUAAUUUAUCUUAUGUAUUAUUAUAUAUAAUUAAACAUACAGUACACUAUAAUUCCAUUGCCAUAUGAAAUUUCUCUAUCAUAGAGUUGAUAGUUGAAACUUAUUGUGUUACAAAUAUACGAGAGUACAUGGUAUAUGUUUUAUUGCAGUAUAUUAUUCAAAAGUAUUGAAUAAGUCAUAAUAGUAUAAAUAUAUAGAUAUUUAAUAAUAUUUAUAAGGUGGAGGAAAAGUGUUCACAUUCGGACAAUUUUUUGCUUGUGCAAACAAAGCAGAGGAGGUGGUUAAUUGGGUGGGUGAGUUGGCGAUUAAUUAAGUGGAUGAACAAGGUGGUGGAUGUAGAUUAGGUUAACGAGGAGGAGCAGCAGUGGUGAUGAAUUGAAUUAGGGAGGUAGACGUGAAUUAGGACGACGUGGGGGAGAUGAAAUAGGUGGGGGAGGUGGAGGUGAACGAGGGGGAGGUGGAGGGGAUAAAUCGAGUGGUGGAGGUGAAGGUGAACGGGGAGGAGGUG